rnacentral:rRNA from 1 species
GACGAACGCUGGCGGCGUGCUUAACACAUGCAAGUCGAACGGAAAGGCCCUGCUCUUGCGGGGUGCUCGAGUGGCGAACGGGUGAGUAACACGUGAGUAACCUGCCCUUGACUUUGUGAUAACUUCAGGAAACUGGGGCUAAUACCGGAUAGGAGCUCCUGCUGCAUGGUGGGGGUUGGAAAGUUUCGGCGGUUGGGGAUGGUCUCGCGGCUUAUCAGCCUGUUGGUGGGGUAGUGGCUUACCAAGGCUUUGACGGGUAGCCGGCCUGAGAGGGUGACCGGCCACAUUGGGACUGAGAUACGGACCAGACUCGUACGGGAGGCAGCAGUGGGGAAUAUUGCACAAUAGGCGGAAGCCUGAUGCAACAACGCCGCGUGCGGGAUGACGGCCUUCGGGUUGUAAACCGAUUUCGACGGUGACGAAGCGUGAGUGACGGUAAUGGGUAAAGAAGCAACGGCUAACUACGUG